UACGAACUGUGCGAACGUUAUUCGGAAUCACUGGGCUUACAGGGUGCGUAGGUGGCCGGACAAGUCAGGUGUGAAAUCCCUCAGCUCAACUGAGGAACUGCGCUUGAAACUGUUUGGCUAGAGUGAGCUAGGGGUGCUUGGAACUGCCAGUGGAGCGGUGAAAUUCGUAGAUAUUCGGAAGAACACCAGUGGCGAAGGCGACUCACUGGACAUGUAUUGACGCUGAGGAGCGAAAGCGUGGGGAGCGAACAGG
rnacentral:rRNA from 1 species